rnacentral:tRNA from 1 species
GUAGGUAUAGCUCAGUGGUAGAGCGCAUGCCUAGCAAGCACCAGGUCCUAGGUUCAAUUCCCAGUCCCUCUA